rnacentral:lncRNA from 1 species
CCUGCCCAGCACGGAUGUGGCCCAGCCUCCUUCGGACAGCGACGCGGUGGGGCCCAGGUCGGGCUUCCCACCUCAGCCAAGCCUGCCCCUUUGCAGGGCCCCAGGGCAGUUGGGUGAGAAGCAGCUUCCAUCUUCAACCUCGGAUGAUCGGGUAAAAGACGAGUUCAGUGACCUUUCUGAGGGAGACGUCUUGAGUGAAGAUGAAAAUGACAAGAAGCAAAAUGCCCAGUCUUCGGACGAGUCCUUUGAGCCUUACCCAGAAAGGAAAGUCUCUGGUAAGAAGAGUGAAAGCAAAGAAGCCAAGAAGUCUGAAGAACCAAGAAUUCGGAAGAAGCCGGGACCCAAGCCCGGAUGGAAGAAGAAGCUUCGUUGUGAGAGGUGAUGCCUGCAACGCGAGGCUCGCCCUGCCUGUCGGGGCCGGGGCUCCAUGCAUGCU